GGAGGGGGAGGAAAUCUAGGGAAGCCCUGCCAACUGAAAGCUGUACUGCUUUGGGAAAAAGGAAGGCGUGUUCAGUGGAAACACAGGCUGGGUUCUGAUGUGAAAACUUCUCUUCCCUCUCCCUUUCCCUUGGUAUCCCUGAAACUUCAUGAAGCAGCCCAAGCUAAGGGGAAAAGUGAAAAAUUGAGGUUAAAAUGGAGACUGUAGAGAGAAAAGAAAGGGAGAGGGGAAUAAAACAAAGGAGAAAGAAGGAGGAAUGAUGGAGAUGAAGAAAAAUACAUGAGAGAUUAGAGGGGGGACAAAUAAAAGGAAGGAAUAGGAAAAAGGAGAGAAGGUAGGGAAAAAUAAAGAAGGGAAUGAGGAAGAUAAAGGAAAGGGAAGGAGGGAAUUGGGAGAGAACAAAUAAAGGAAAAGAGGAAAAAGAAAGGAGAGAAUGUUAGGAAAAAUAAAGAGCAAUGAGGAAAAUGAAGAAAAAGGAAAAGAGAAAAUGAAAGAGAUGAAGGAGAGGGAAGAAGAGCAAGGAGAGGGGAAUAUUAAUGACAAGAUAAAAAAUGGAAAGGACAAAAAGAAGGAGAUGAGUGAAGCAAAGAAAGGAAGGGAUAAGGAAUAGAAAAGAAGAGAAAGAAGAGAUGGGAAGGGAAGAAUGAACAGAAAAAAGCAAAACGAGGGAAGGAAUGAGUGAAUACAUCAGAGUGGAAAGAGGGAGGGAGGGCGACUGAGGGAAUGGAGAGCAGGGAGGGCCUGAGAGUGGGCUCACCGCCCGCCAGCCCGUCCGCCCCUCCCAGUCCCACCCUCUCCCUCCCUUCCUCUUUCCCUAGCCGGGAUACCCGGAGCUCUCCGUUAAGGCGGGAGGCUCAGCAACCUUCUCCCACCGGGGAGGCCAGAGCCGGGCCAUGGGCAGCGGGAGCAGCAGGAGCAGGCGGGCGCGGAGACAGCUGCAUAGCCCUAACAAGAACCCAGGGGUCCCUGGUGUCCAGAAGCUGGGCGAUGGGCAGCGGGACACUGAGGCCUGCCAGGAGGAGGAGGACGGGAAGGAUGGGCAGCAGGAAGGCUCAAGAAAAGGGGCCCACGGGGAUUGCGCUGUCCAAGACUAUGAGUCGCCCCAAAAUGGAAAUGAGAAGGAACCGGAGUCAGAGUCACUGCUGCUGGACCAGGUACUGGCCGAGUCGGAGGCCUGGACCCAACAUUCGAACCCUGGCCGAGUCGGGCCUCCCACUCUCGGCCGGGACCGAACUCACACCUGGGUGGGGCUCCCCCCUCUCAGUCGAAACUCAGCUGCGGUGGCGAGCGCAAGGUAUCUCCAGUUCAAAGCACCCAAGAUAUAGAGAAUAAUAACAACUUUGAGACUUCCACCAGGAGCAGCAAGAGGCCUGAAAGACAAACUCCCAUCUUGUAUGACUGCUCAGAAGAGGAGUUGAUGGCGAGCAUUGAGCGGGAAUAUGGCCGCUGAGGGUUAGCAUGAACCAGGGAAGACACUUGGCUUUGGAUGACAGCCCCUGAGCAGUGAAAAAAACACAUCCUCCAUGGAGAAGGGAGACAAUGUCAAUUUCUGUCUCUGCUCCUCAUCAAUCAGAAGCUUGAACAAUACAUCGGUCAAGUUACUAAGAGCAUCCUCUCUCUAGCAAGCAAUAGAUCAGUGCCGAGGAAGGUGUAGAGUCUUUCUACAAGACAACCACCAUUUAUUUGUAGAUCUGUAGACUAUAAUGCCUAGAAGGGAACUUGGAGAUCAUCUGGUCCAACAUUUGUAUUUUGCAGAUAAGGAAGCUGAGUUCCAGAGAUGUAAAGAUCACACAAGGUGCUAAUUGGCUGAGUUAAAACUUGAAAUUGGAUCUCUUGACUAUUCAGCCAGUAUUCAUUCUACUGUACUAUCCUACCUUCCCUUUAAUAGCUGGCUUUUUAAAAUGUGAUCUUUCAGAAGUCAGUCCCAAAGGAUAGUCUUUCGGCAUGGUGAGCCAUCCUGCAUUGUAGUCUGCAGUAUCUGGUCAAGGACUGCAGUGAGAAUCAUUCUUACAUGAUACAGUGGAAAGAGCACCAUCUCUGGGGAAUAAGAGGACUUGAAUUCAAAUUUCAGCUCAUAUUUAGUAGCAUGUGACCUUGGACAAGUAACUUAUUGUUCAGUCAUUUUCAGGCAUGUCCAACUCUUUUGAUUCCAUUUGUGAUUUACUUGACAAAGUACUGGAAUAGUUUGCUAUUUCCUUCUCCAACCUUUUUUACAGAUGGGGAAAUUGAAGCAAACAGGGUUAAGUGACUUGGCCAGGCUCAUACAACUGGUAAGUGUCUGAAGCUGGAUUUAAACUCAGGUUUUCCUGACUCGGAGACCAGCAUUCUAUCCAUUGCUAUCUCAGGAGAAUUUAGUAUCUCUGUAAAAUGAGGGGGUUGAAGUGAUUGGUCUCUAAAAUCUCCACCAGCUCUAAGCUAUGGUCUGUAAUGGUGUACUCUGAAUAUUUGGCAUAGUGAAGGGAAACUAGAGUACUCUAUAAGUAACUUGUUCCUUUGUCCAUUCUUUUAAGAAGGGGGGACAUUAUUUUAAGAAAGGGACUGUGGCUGUUUGGAGACUAUGUGACUCUUCUUGGGGGCCUAUGAAAUGAAUAAUUUGGACUGGUUCCUUCUACCACAGAUAUUCCUGUGAAUCUAAAUAUUUCUCUCAUGUCUGAAACAUAUCCCUGGUUAUGAAACACAUAAAGACUGAGAGGCAACUCAAUGCUAUUUAAUUUAAAAGUAGAGGAUUUCAACUCUCUCCUUAUUCCCAAUUAGACCUUGGGUAAGACACUCCCCUUUUCUCAGCCUCUGUUUCCCCAUCUGUAAAAUGAGGAUAAUAAUGUGAUCACCGAUUCCUGCCUACCCCCACAAAGUCAUUAUGAGAAAGUGCUUUGUGAACUUUAAAGGAAUAUGUAAAUGUUAAUUAUUUAUUAUUAGUCCCAUCAUCCAAAUUGCUACUUAUUGUCAGAGAUGAGGUGAGGAGUGUGAAUUCUAAAUUCUAAUUGAAAUGAAUUUGUGCUUUAAGACAUUACAACAUAAACUGUCCAUUGUGUCUGAAAUACAGUUGUCACAUUGUAUACUACAAGGGAGGAUGAAUUCCAACAACACUUUAUUCUAAGAAACUCUGUUACCAAAUGUAGAGAUAAGGUAGAAGAUAUUUAUGUGAGUUUUGAAGCUAAGUGGAUUCCUUCCCCUCUGAGUUGCUGUCCAGCUCUCAGGAUCACAUGUCCCUGAGUCUCAGAGCUGGAAUGGACCUAAACAGCCAUUGAGGUCUACUCAUACUUGGGGGGGAAAAAAUGUCCACCACAGCAUAUCUGAUAUAGGACAGUUUUUGAAGACUCCAGUGCUGGGAAGUCCACCAUUUCUCCUUGGAAAAACUCUAAUCCUAGGAAGUUGGGGCAUUUCCCCCUGGUAUCAAGGCAAAAUUUACUUCCUUGCAAAUUCUAUUCAUCCCUCCUGGUUCUAGCCUCUGAGAGGGCCAAGUAGAACAGGAAAGUCUUUCAAAUACUUCAAAGACACCACAUUUGUACACACACACACACACACACACACACACACACACAACUUUUUCUCUUCAGCUUUUUCUUCUCCAAGAUUAACUUUCCCAGUUCUUUUAAUGGAUCCUUAUAUGCAUGAAUUUGAGGUCCUUCACUACUCAGACUGUCUUCCUUUGGAUAUCCUCCAAUUUAUUUUCAAUUCCUUUUCUAAAUGAUGGCAUCCAAAACUGAAUACAAUAUUUCUAGCUAUUGUCUGAUUUUUUAUUCUCCCUCUCUAGAUGAGGCAAGAUAUGGCUUCCUGAUCCCCUUCAGCCUUAUAGGAGGGUAUUCUCCUGCUUUUUUUGGAGAUUAUUCCAAACUCAGUGAAAUUGAAAUUGUCUACAUCAAUAAACCAAAUUGAUGUCCCAUGGUAACUAGAGGUGCUGACUACAUAAGAUAGAGUCUCUGCCUUCCUUUGCCCAGCCACAGCUACAUCUAAGGUCAUAGAUUUUGGAAUUGGAAGAGAUUUAAGAGAACAUCUAAUUUAAGGCUUCCUAACUUGUUUUGUGCCAUGGACCUCUUUGGCAAUCUGUGGAAACCUAUGAAACCCUUCUCAGAACAUAUAUAUAUAUAUUCACAUAUAUA